GAUGAAGAACGUAGCGAAAUGCGAUAAGUAAUGUGAAUUGCAGAAUUCAGUGAAUCAUCGAAUCUUUGAACGCACAAUGCGCCCCCUGGUAUUCCGGGGGGCAUGCCUGUCCGAGCGUCAUUACAACCCUCAAGCUCAGCUUGGUGUUGGGCCCCGCCGCCCCGGCGGGCCCUAAAGUCAGUGGCGGUGCCGUCCGGCUCCGAGCGUAGUAAUUCUUCUCGCUCUGGAGGUCCGGUCGUGUGCUCGCCAGCAACCCCCAAUUUUUUUCAGGUUGACCUCGGAUCAGGUAGGGAUACCCGCUGAACUUAAGCAUAUCAAUAAGCGGAGGA
rnacentral:misc_RNA from 1 species